UUCAAAAUCGGAGUUGGCAACACUGACGCCGAAGUGAUUUGUCAACGCGUCUUGUGUUAAUUUUUUUGCGGUUAUCUAUCACAUCACAGAUCUAACAACUUACAAGUUCAAUGGAGUAAGUGAUCGAAUCUUUAAAAACAUGGGAGUUGGAGAACUUAAUACGAAAAUUCACCACCCCGGAAUCGGACGCUAAUAAAACCAUGUUCCGAUGGUAAUAGGCGACGCCCAGCGUGCCCGGGUGUUGAAAUAAGUGCAAAACUGCUCUCCGCUCGCCUUUUGUCCACCAACGGGUUCACGCCGCGUCGCCUAAUCCUCGCGCCGGUCGCCAGCAUUCCCCGCUGUGUUCCGGUAACCUACAGGCGGCAAGCUGACGCUGCCGUCAUCCACACGACACCAUCUCUGAGGCGGCUGACGUGGCAGUCGUGGUGGUCUGAGGCGGCUGACGUAGCACGUUUGAGACCCUGAUGGAUUUUUCUGAGUUUAACAUAAGCACAGACCUAAUAGUUAUAGAAACUUCAGAAAAGGAAAACUUGUCCUCGGAAAAGGAAAAUGUGCCAUCUGCAAUUGCUGAGAAGAAAGCAGAGCCCAGUUAUAAUUCCAGGAUUGUGGAAAAGUCAUUGGACUCUGCAUCACUAUUUUGAAAAUAUUCUGCUCUCAAAAAACCACAAGGAUAUUCUUUGCGGCUUAACGACUUCAAAAGCACAUGAAAUUUACUAGGACAAUUUGUUUAUAAAUUUUCCAUCAAUGAAAAUAAAUCUUCAGGAACAGCUGAAAUACAAAAAGUCGAACUUACUGCACUUACCAAUUCGCCCUAUGAGGAAACAACGAAUAUAGCCGGAUUUCUCACCAUUCCAUUUUUGCUGAACACUGCGGCAGUCCGCCAAAAGAAGAAGCGAGGUUCCGGUGCAAGUCAAAAUUGGAAGCCCAGUAAAAUGGAAGUAAGGGAAGGUUUCAUAAAGCAUAUCCGCUCUAGUGUAGAAAUUAGCCAGACCAUCGAACUUCGCAUAGCCACACUUCAAAAAAUAGGAUUGUCAUGCCAGCCAUACAUAAUUGUUGUGGGUGAGUCUCUUGAAAAAAUCGAAUCAUUUCUAGUUGUUGUCAGCAGAUCGAUAAUCUAUGAAAGACAGUCCAUUAUGAACGCAGUAGAUACGUGCAACAAAAUAUAUAAUACAAUGAAAAUAUAAUACAUUGUACUUACUGGUGAACUCUGGUAUUAAGACGAUACAGGAGUGAUCUAUUCUCCAUACAAACGCUCUCGACUAUUUCCUCCCUGGUUUUUCAAGAUACAGCAAUGAUUUUUUUCAAGACAGAUUAUAAUAAUUUUUAUCUGUGUCGG